rnacentral:lncRNA from 1 species
GCCUCCAUAAGGUUAGGGAUGUUCUACCCUUCCCAUCGAAAUAGAACAAUCUAAUCUGUGUGAUCACAAUCUGAGUCAUCCACAUAGAAGUGGAAAUAAUUUGAUAAUCUUUACCUACGGUGGCACGUAGUUCUGGGGUAUGAAACCAUAGUAACUUACCCAUCUUGGUGCUAAAUACUACUCCCAAUGUCAUGCUCAAAAUCUUAAAAAAUCCACUUUAAAAUUUACACAAAGGUUUACAGAAAGCCAAUUAUGCUUUACUUUUCUUUAAAUCUCAAGUCUUUUGAAAUAAAGUAGAUUCUUUAUCUGAAAUCUGAAAAUAAUCUAGUCAUGGGGUGCUU